rnacentral:rRNA from 1 species
ACUAGGAUUUAUCCUGGGAUCACAAUGGGCUUGAUUUGCAAACUUUAUUAGCGAGGAACAAUUGGAGGGCAAGUCUGGUGCCAGCAGCCGCGGUAAUUCCAGCUCCAAUAGUGUAUAUUAAUGUUCCUGCAGUUAUUCGAUGCUCGUAGUUGGAUUUCUGGGGGCUGAUUCUGGACGGCGGCUAUGGCCGCCACCGGUUUCUUCCUUCAUCCACCUGUUAACGUUGUUCGAGAUUCAUUUCUCGGCUUCGGGCUCAGGUAUUUUACCCUUACUAUAUUCAUUUAUUUAUCUUCUUUUUGAGCAAAUUAUAGUGUUUCAGGCAGGCGUGCGCCGGAAUACUUUAGCAUGGAAUAAUCGAAUUGGACUGUGUUCCUUAUUUGUUGGUUUGAUGGGCACAGAAUGGUUAAUAGGGAUAGUAAUUUUCAGGGGAGGCAUUAGUAUUUAAUUUCCAGAGGUGAAAUUCUUUGAAAUAUUAAAGACUAACUUAUGCGAAAGCAUUUAUUUUGCCAAUAAUGUUUUCAUUAAUCAUUGAACGAAAGUUAGGGGAUCAAAGACGAUCAGAUACCGUCCUAGUCUUAACCAUAAACGUUGCCGACUAGGGAUCGGAGGGCGUGCACAUUCCGCCUUCGGCACCUUACGAGAAAUCAAAGUCUUUUGGGUUCUGGGGGUAGUAUGGUCGCAAGGCUGAAACUUAAAGGAAUUGACGGAAGGGCACCACCAGGAGUGGAGCUUGCGGCUCAAUUUGACUCAACACGGGAAAUCUUACCAGGUCCAGACAUAGCGAGGAUUGACAGAUUGAUAGCUCUUUCUUGAUUCUAUGGGUAUUUUUGGUGGUGCAUGGCCGUUCUUAGUUGGUGGAGUGAUUUGUCUGGUUAAUUCCGUUAAACGAACGAGACCUCAGCCUGCUAAAUAGUUACUUGUCUUUCUUUUACGAGACAUGUUAACUUCUUAGAGGGACGUUGUGUGCAACCACAAGGAAGUUGAGGCAAUAACAGGUCUGUGAUGCCCUUAGAUGUCCUGGGCCGCACGCGUGCUACACUGAUACGUACAACGAGGUAUAUGUAUUUAUACAUCGAUGCUGCUCCGAAAUAGACAAAGCUAAAUCUUCUAAAAUACGUAUCGUGCUGCGGAUAGAUCGUUGAAAUUAUGAAUCUUGAAGGUGGAAUUCCUAGUAAGCGCGGGUCAUCAACCCGCGUUGAUUACGUCCCUGCCCUUUGUACACACCGCCCGUCGCUCCUACCAAUUUCGAGUGGCUCGGUGAACCUCUUUGGACUGUCGAGCAAUCGCGAAAUUAGAGUGAACCUGGUCAC